rnacentral:ncRNA from 1 species
AGGAGCGGUAUGAAGCGAAAGUUUCACGUACCGUUCUGAAGCCGAGUCAAGAGGGCGACCUCUUGGCUUAGGUUAAC